AGUGAACGCUGGCGGUAGGCCUAACACAUGCAAGUCGAACGGCAGCACAGUAAGAGCUUGCUCUUACGGGUGGCGAGUGGCGGACGGGUGAGGAAUACAUCGGAAUCUACUUUUUCGUGGGGGAUAACGUAGGGAAACUUACGCUAAUACCGCAUACGACCUACGGGUGAAAGCAGGGGAUCUUCGGACCUUGCGCGAUUGAAUGAGCCGAUGUCGGAUUAGCUAGUUGGCGGGGUAAAGGCCCACCAAGGCGACGAUCCGUAGCUGGUCUGAGAGGAUGAUCAGCCACACUGGAACUGAGACACGGUCCAGACUCCUACGGGAGGCGGCAGUGGGGAAUAUUGGACAAUGGGCGCAAGCCUGAUCCAGCCAUACCGCGUGGGUGAAGAGGGCCUUCGGGUUGUAAAGCCCUUUUGUUGGGAAAGAAAAGCAGCAGGUUAAUACCCCGCUGUUCUGACGGUACCCAAAGAAUAAGCACCGGCUAACUUCGUG
rnacentral:rRNA from 1 species